UUCAACUCGAUGAUCAUGAUGGCUACUUCAAGGAGGCAGAGCCAUGUCUGUGUACCCAACUGAACUGACGAGAAGAUGAUCCAGAUGUUGACCGUGUACACUAUAUUGGAUCAGAGGAUGACAGCCAGACCCAGGAAUUUUUCCAUGAUCAAUGUGUGGUACCAGAUUGUCAAGGAGCAUCAAAGGAAGACAGGAAUCUAUUUCAGUGGAGUGCAGAAUCAUCACCACUGUGAUGACCUACAUCAGAGGGAUGUGGAUGAGCUUUGAAUGAGGGUUGCUGAGGUGCAGAGCCAGCCCAUAGAUCCCUACAACAAGGAGGAUCACAGCUGGAACAAAGCUAUGGUCAUCAAGCAGAUGAAGAGAGUGAGCAACUAUGGUUCAGGACUGAAGGCAAAAAUGAAAAACCGAAUUUGGGCUGCCUUAUGUAGUGGCACAGCCAUCAGCAUGCUGCACUGUACUGAUUGAAGAAACUAUACCUAUUAGCUGAAGAACUCUGAGGCACAAACUGUAAAUAAAUUGAAUAGGGAGCAAAGGCAAAGGUGACAGAGGGAUGAUAUCUUUACUGACAGUUUCUCUUAAGGUGACAGAUGAAGUAUUGACACACAUUUUGGGAUAUGAAUUCAGCAUGCUAAGUCUGCAUGACAAAUACUGAAUAUGUUACCUGUAGUCAUUGUUCUAGCAAUGUUUUGUUAUGAGAAACCAAACCAUUCUUCCUGUGAAUAACAUCUGCUAUGCAUGAUGUAAAAAAGUGAUGGUUUCUAAAGCGUAAGGAUAGAAAUUUACUAAUGUGAUGAAUGUUGAUAUAUGUAGACUAUAUUAUAGAUUACUUACCAAUACAGCCUAGUUAUUAAAUAUGACAGUAUUAUAUUUCCCAUUCAAAGUAUGUAAUUAUGACUUCUAUGUGGUGAGUCAUAAAGGAGAUGACGUCAUUUUCUUUGUGUCCUAUUUCUGAAAAAAAGUGACAUUUCCUCAAUCCAUGAUGAUGUUUACACUCUAAUGCAAGUUAUUUUGUGGCAAGCCGGUGUUCAAAAUAUUAUUGAUAGGUUGGCGCAUUUUUUAAUUACAAAUGUGUAUCUUUUUUUUGCCUUUUUCAUUUGCAUGCCACCUGGUAGUAAACAAUGAUGUUUCACAUCU